UGGGGAAUAUUGCACAAUGGGCGCAAGCCUGAUGCAGCAACGCCGCGUGGAGGAAGACGGUUUUCGGAUUGUAAACUCCUGUUCUUAGUGAAGAAGAAUGACGGUAGCUAAGGAGCAAGCCACGGCUAACUACGUGCCAGCAGCCGCGGUAAUACGUAGGUGGCAAGCGUUGUCCGGAAUUACUGGGUGUAAAGGGAGCGCAGGCGGGGGAGCAAGUCAGCUGUGAAAUCCAUGGGCUUAACCCAUGAACUGCAGUUGAAACUGUUCUUCUUGAGUGAAGUAGAGGUUGGCGGAAUUCCGAGUGUAGCGGUGAAAUGCGUAGAUAUUCGGAGGAACACCGGUGGCGAAGGCGGCCAACUGGGCUUUUACUGACGCUGAGGCUCGAAAGUGUGGGGAGCAAACAGG
rnacentral:rRNA from 1 species